AUUUAAUGCCUAAAAAUAGUAUUGAAUUGAUGAAAUAGUAUACAUGAUACUUGAUGCAUUAAGGUGAGUUUAGACCACACUUUGUUUCUACAUUGUAAGAUAGUUAUCAUUUUAUGUUUUUAUAACUAUACUGAAAAGAGACUGGCUGAAUGGGUUUGCAGAUGAAGUUGUAAAAACACAUUAAUUCACGCAUAAAUUGUCCAUCUGUCAUCUUUGGGCGUCCUUAGGAUGGAAAUGAUCACGUAGCUCGAGUAAAACGCUCUUACACCAGGAACCGGAAGUGGAGUUUUACAGCCUUGUUUACGGCGCUUGUUUACAUUAUCGAUGGAGUAACAGGAAUGAAGAAUCCCUGGCUGCAAUGUUUUAGCAGAGACGUUGCGUUAUUUACAAGGAACGAGCUGUGAAAUAAUGUACUUUGGGCAAUGAUAUCGGAGUUUGUCAAUUGGCAUGGGCAACUGUCAACGUUACACGCGUGUAAGCAAUGGACUUGAUGUUGAAGUAAAAGUUACCGUUACUCAAUCGGGUGGCCGAAGCGACCUAAUUCGUGUUUAUCCGGGUAAGUCACGGAACAUUCCUACAGAUUAUGGAAUCGUUACCAUAUCCAUAUUUGAUCCGGAUGGUCCUGAUAAGAGGUAUCCAAACGUAAAGAUAAAUUUACCGUAUGAGUACGGUAUUGUUAUCGGAAAAAACAAACGUGGAAAACCCAAACUUCGAAGAGCAUUGCUUAAACACGUUUACUUGCAUAUAUUUUAGUUUUGUGUAUACAUUUUCACAAUGGAAUUUGUCGGCAAAGUGUACGAAUCUGAUAAACAUCAAAAGAAUCUGGAAAUUAUUUUGCGUGAACUUCAUGGAAUCUACAACGUUUGCCGCUAAGAAUAUUGAAAAUGCCAAACUGAGGAAGAAAUAUAUCAACCUGGCCAAGAACACAGCCUAUGAGAUACUGCAAGAAGCUAACUUUCAUAGCAAAUGACAGCUAACUCAAUCUUUGGGGCAGUCAAAACAGCUAUGUCCCUAGUAUUAUUGUUACGAUGUUUUAAAAUAUCGGACCAAAGAGUGUUGUCUGUCCUAUAUCGGACCAAUGCAUUGUCAUAACAAUAAUACGGUUUGUUGCUAAUAAAUGAUUGUGCAAUAGUUUGAAACAUGCACUCCGUCGGGUAAGGCACGGCGAAUACCACAUGGAACGACGUUUUAUACAGAUUUGUUGUACGACUUCAUAAUUGCUGUCAAACUGCAGCAGUAAUGAACUUUUACAUUUGAACACUUGAUGAUGGCAUUUCGUAGAGUAGUAAAAUGUUUGAAAAAGACUUGAGUUGAAAUAAAACUUCAUUAACGUUAAAACAAGGAUAUGAUGAUACAUUAAUUCAGUGCAUUGAUGAAGACGUCUGAUUUGUUUGUUUGUUUCUUUUUCGGCGAACGCCGUCUUAAUUCGUUUUCGUUACCUAUGCCACGUGACUUCAGUUUGCAAAUCAAACUACUUGAUAACGCAUUAUUGAUAAUUUAUCAAAAUAGAAGAUUUAUGCAACACUCUGCCUGAUUGGACGAGAGUGUCAAUUUCUUUCACUCGGUUGAUUGUGCUACGCUGAGUGAAAUGUAGACAAAGCGUUUAUCAUAAACGACGCUGUUCACAGUUUUAAAGCUAACUUUGGCUUAGUAUAUUUAGCAAGAAUAUUGAUAUAUCUCAAAAUGAUAAGUAAGUUUAAUAAACAUGAUAAAAACCUGUUCAAAUACCAACAUAUAACAAAUUAAAGAAAGAGCUGAAUACGGUCUGCGUAUCACAUGAAUAAGGGUGUGAUAAGAGUCUUUUAUGUAGAGAAGGGCUUUUUAAAAGAUUUUCCUUGUUACAAUUGUCGUCUGUAUAUGAAAAAGGUUUCUUGCUUUUGUGGCUUGUGCAUAUUAAAAUGAGUACUUGUUUGCUUUGAUAUAUUUGUUAUAAAUUAUUUAACUGAUUUAUUAUAUAUGUAUAUCUGUCUUUAGUAUGGUAUGCAAAUAUUGAACUCAGUUGAAAUCAGUUUUAUCAUAUAUAUGCUAAAAAUGACUGAAUCUCAUUACACUGAAAAGAAGGUACGCUGCAUACAGUUUAUCUAUGUGAUAUGACUACGGUCAAACUUUGCUUAUGAAACAGAAAUAUUGAAAUAAUUACAAUUCUAUGUUUUGCUUGACCUUCACUUUUUAUAGGUGUGACAUCAUUGUCUAAAGAUUCAUGAAUAGCGAAUAUGCAUUUGUUAAAGCGGGAUCAGUUGGCCUAUUUUAGAAAUAAAUAAAAAUAUUAAAUGAAAAAAUCCUUUAAUUGAUUUUUUCUCAUGUAUUCUAAACUUGAUU